AAAACUGAGUUAGCCUCACUGCUGGUAAUACAAGGGUCUUCCUUGUACCUGUAUUGACUUCCCAAGAGCUGUCGGGGGUGUAAAUGCAGAUUUAGAGAUAAAAAUAUCUUUGAAGUACUAUAAUGGCAGUAUAUGAUGCUCUGAUAUUUGUUUUUUUCAAGGCCUCACUGACAAGGAGCCCGUCAGACCCAGAGAAUAACAACGUCGACAAUGACAGGUGCUCACAAGAAAACAACARGAAGCCUGAGGAACAGUCCACGAUAUCGUAUGAUUACUCUGAGGAGGAGCUCAUGGCAAGUAUUGAGCGAGAGUAUGGCCACUGAAUGUGAUCCCACGUGAUGAGAACAUCAAGCAUGGAGCAAAACUGCUACUAACAAAACGACCCCUCAUGCAGUGAGACAGCAUGAAAGAGGUGGAAAAGGCAAGUAAAGAACAAGAUGCCAUGCGACUGCUUAGAAMGCUUGGAAGAGCUCUUGAGGAAAGUCCCUCCGACCAAGUCUGGGUGAGAACAUGGAAAAUCCUCACCAGCUGCUGUGUCUGAUCAGUGCAGCUGGAAAAGGGACCAUGACAUCUUGUAAAUCAAUAUUUAAGAGCACAAUUCUAAAUGGCAUUUGCCUGUGAAGAUACACCAGAAUGUAAGUGUUGAGACAUGGUGCUUUGGGGGAAAACCUCUUUGUCUUAACAGAAAAAAAAAAAAACGUAGUGAAAUCAUUGAAUUAAAUUGAGAAUUGUGUAAAGGAAUGUUGCAUAAAAUUAAAGUUCCUAGCACUUAGGAAAGACAGGACAAAUUUGCUCCUUUUGCCAUGCAGGCCUCAGUUCCAGGUCUGAAUGURGCACUGUAUCUUUGAAAAGAGUUUCCAGUAUGGGAAAUAAAAGAAAAAAGGGAGCAAAUCUCCACUUUGAAAUGAAGGUAGGGUAAUUCAAGAGUUCAAAUCCCACUGCAUGGACAAAUGAGGUUCUGGAAAAUGAGCAGGGAGCCUAAGAUUUGUACAGAGAGCAGAUGAGCCCCGACUUCCUCACACCUACAGUCGAAGUCCAACAUCUUCAGGGGAGGAUCCUCACAGAGAUU